rnacentral:rRNA from 1 species
AAUCUUGCGCAAUGGGGGAAACCCUGACGCAGCAACGCCGCGUGAGUGAAGAAGGCUUUCGGGUCGUAAAGCUCUGUCAGGUGGGAAGAAUUACUUGGCGCUAAUAUCGCCAGGGGUUGACGGUACCACCAGAGGAAGCACCGGCUAACUCCGUGCCAGCAGCCGCGGUAAUACGGAGGGUGCAAGCGUUGUUCGGAAUUACUGGGCGUAAAGAGCGUGUAGGCGGUUGAUUAAGUCAGGUGUGAAAGCCCUUGGCUUAACCGAGGAAGUGCAUCUGAAACUGAUCAACUUGAGUACGGGAGAGGAGAGUGGAAUUCCUGGUGUAGAGGUGAAAUUCGUAGAUAUCAGGAGGAACACCGGUGGCGAAGGCGACUCUCUGGACCGAUACUGACGCUGAGACGCGAAAGCGUGGGGAGCAAACAGGAUUAGAUACCCUGGUAGUCCACGCCGUA